rnacentral:rRNA from 1 species
CCUACGGGGUGCAGCAGUAGGGAAUCUUUCACAAUGGGCGAAAGCCUGAUGGCGCAACGCCGCGUGCAGGAUGAAGGCCUUCGGGUUGUAAACUGCUUUUAUAAGCGAGAAAUAUGAUGGUAACUUAUGAAUAAGGAUCGGCUAACUACGUGCCAGCAGCCGCGGUCAUACGUAGGAUCCGAGCAUUAUCCGGAGUGACUGGGGGUAAAUAGUUGCUUAGGUGGCAUAAUAAGUAGCUAGUGAAAUCUGGUGGCUCAACCAUUCAGAGUAUUAGUUAAACUGUUAGGCUUGAGACCGUUAGGGGUAACUGGAAGUUCUAGUGUAGGAGUGAAAUCCGUAGAUAUUAGAAGGAACACCAAUAGCGUAGGCAGGUUGCUGGGACGGUUCUGACACUAAGGCACGAAAGCGUAGGGAGCAAACGGGAUUAGAUACCCCAGUAGUC